rnacentral:rRNA from 1 species
GGAUUGAAAUGGGGGCACCCUGAUCCAGCAAUGCCGCGUGUGUGAAGAAGGCCUUCGGGUUGUAAAGCACUUUUGUCCGGAAAGAAAACUUCGUCCCUAAUAUGGAUGGAGGAUGACGGUACCGGAAGAAUAAGCACCGGCUAACUACGUGCCAGCAGCCGCGGUAAUACGUAGGGUGCGAGCGUUAAUCGGAAUUACUGGGCGUAAAGCGUGCGCAGGCGGUUUGUUAAGACCGAUGUGAAAUCCCCGGGCUCAACCUGGGAACUGCAUUGGUGACUGGCAAGCUUUGAGUAUGGCAGAGGGGGGUAGAAUUCCACGUGUAGCAGUGAAAUGCGUAGAGAUGUGGAGGAAUACCGAUGGCGAAGGCAGCCCCCUGGGCCAAUACUGACGCUCAUGCACGAAAGCGUGGGGAGCAAACAGGGUUAGAUACCCUGGUAGUCCACGCCCUAAACGAUGUCAACUAGUUGUUGGGGAUUCAUUUCCUUAGUAACGUAGCUAACGCGUGAAGUUGACCGCCUGGGGAGUACGGUCGCAAGAUUAAAACUCAAAAAAAUUGACGGA